rnacentral:rRNA from 1 species
GAUGAACGCUAGCGACAGGCUUAACACAUGCAAGUCGAGGGGCAGCAAGAAUUGUAGCAAUACAAUUUGUUGGCGACCGGCGCACGGGUGAGUAACGCGUAUGCAACCUACCUAUCAGAGGGGGAUAGCCCGGUGAAAGCCGGAUUAAUACCGCAUAAAACAGGGGUCCCGCAUGGGAAUAUUUGUUAAAGAUUAAUUGCUGAUAGAUGGGCAUGCGUUCCAUUAGUUAGUUGGUGUAGGUAACGGCUCACCAAGACAUCGAUGGAUAGGGGUUCUGAGAGGAAGGUCCCCCACACUGGUACUGAGACACGGACCAGACUCCUA